rnacentral:rRNA from 1 species
ACGAACGCUGGCGGCGUGCUUAACACAUGCAAGUCGAACGGAAAGGCCCUGCUUUUGUGGGGUGCUCGCGUGGCGAACGGGUGAGUAACACGUGAGUAACCUGCCCUUGACUUUGGGAUAACUUCAGGAAACUGGGGCUAAUACCGGAUAGGAGCUCCUGCUGCAUGGUGGGGGUUGGAAAGUUUCGGCGGUUGGGGAUGGACUCGCGGCUUAUCAGCUUGUUGGUGGGGUAGUGGCUUACCCAGGCUUUGACGGGUAGCCGGCCUGAGAGGGUGACCGGCCACAUUGGGACUGAGAUACGGCCCAGACUCCUACGGGAGGCAGCAGUGGGGAAUAUUGCACAAUGGGCGGAAGCCUGAUGCAGCAACGCCGCGUGCGGGAUGACGGCCUUCGGGUUGUAAACCGCUUUCGCCUGUGACGAAGCGUGAGUGACGGUAAUGGGUAAAGAAGCACCGGCUAACUACGUG